UCUUUGAUGGUCUAGUGGUUAUGAUUUCCGCUUGUCAAUGAUGGCGGUUAGCUGUCUAACAAGCGCGGGAGACCGGGGUUCGAUUCCCCGUCAGAGAG